UUAGUGGACAGUGGCAGACGGGUGAGUAACGCGUGGGAAUCUACCUUUGAGUGGGGAAUAACAAUUAGAAAUGAUUGCUAAUACCGCAUACACCCUCCGGGGGAAAGGCUUCGGCCGCUCUUAGAUGAGCCCGCGUACGAUUAGUUUGUUGGUGAGGUAAAGGCUCACUAAGACUACGAUCGUUAGCUGGUUUGAGAGGAUGAUCAGCCACACUGGGACUGAGACACGGCCCAGACUCCUACGGGAGGCAGCAGUGGGGAAUAUUGGACAAUGGGCGAAAGCCUGAUCCAGCCAUGCCGCGUGAGUGAAGAAGGCCUUAGGGUUGUAAAACUCUUUCGACAGGGAAGAUAAUGACGGUACCUGUAUAAGAAGCUCCGGCUAACUCCGUGCCAGCAGCCGCGGUAAUACGGAGGGGGCAAGCGUUGCUCGGAAUUACUGGGCGUAAAGCGAGCGUAGGCGGUUAGUCAAGUUGGUGGUGAAAGCCCGGAGCUCAACUCCGGAACUGCCAUCAAAACUGACUUACUUGAGAUUGGUAGAGGAAAAUGGAAUUCCUAGUGUAGAGGUGAAAUUCGUAGAUAUUGGGAAGAACAUCGGUGGCGAAGGCGAUUUUCUGGGCCAUAUCUGACGCUGAGGUUCGAAAGCGUGGGUAG
rnacentral:rRNA from 1 species